rnacentral:lncRNA from 1 species
AGCAGACCACCUGGAGCUCUCUUUGAACCUGGUCUUUGGUUGGCUGGCUGGUUGUUUUUUUUGCGGGGGGAGGUUCGUGUGCGCGUGCUUGUGCGUGUGCGUGUGCGCUUGCGUGUUUAAACUUUCUAUGUCUCCAGCAGACCCCUGUGCUGGAGAGAAUUACUGUACAGUCUGUUUUCCCAAAUAGCCUCCCAUUAAUCAAAAACAUUCCCCAGCCAGGCUGCAGCCUCCCACGUGUUACCUGCUGGCUCAACAAGCCUGAGUCCUGACCACAAAGGAGGAAGAGCUAGCAUGUUAAACCACACAGCUGGAGAAAACAAGGCCUGCCCCAUGACAAGAGGAGGAGCUGAAGAUUAUUUCCACUUUCCGGAAGAAGGAACUGGCCUCACCCAAAAACUACCGAAGCUGGAAAGGGCGGGCCAGAGGUGGCCUGGCAUCUGCUGCCCUCAGUCAUGAGCUCGCCUCCUGCACUAAGCUCAUCAGAGUUGUUUUCCACAUUCCUUCCACCCAUUUAUUCCCAGC